rnacentral:rRNA from 2 species
CCAACUACGUGCCAGCAGCCGCGGUAAUACGUAGGGUCCGAGCGUUGUCCGGAAUUACUGGGCGUAAAGAGCUCGUAGGUGGUUUGUCGCGUUGUUCGUGAAAACUCACAGCUCAACUGUGGGCGUGCGGGCGAUACGGGCAGACUUGAGUACUGCAGGGGAGACUGGAAUUCCUGGUGUAGCGGUGGAAUGCGCAGAUAUCAGGAGGAACACCGGUGGCGAAGGCGGGUCUCUGGGCAGUAACUGACGCUGAGGAGCGAAAGCGUGGGGAGCGAACAGGAUUAGAUACCCUGGUAGUCCACGCCGUAAACGGUGGGUACUAGGUGUGGGUUUCCUUCCUUGGGAUCCGUGCCGUAGCUAACGCAUUAAGUACCCCGCCUGGGGAGUACGGCCGCAAGGCUAAAACUCAAAGAAAUUGACGGGGGCCCGCACAAGCGGCGGAGCAUGUGGAUUAAUUCGAUGCAACGCGAAGAACCUU